rnacentral:rRNA from 1 species
UACGUAGGGGGCUAGCGUUGUCCGGAAUCAUUGGGCGUAAAGCGCGUGUAGGCGGUCCGGUAAGUCCGCUGUGAAAGUCGGGGGCUCAACCCUCGGAUGCCGGUGGAUACUGUCGGGCUUGAGUACGGAAGAGGCGAGUGGAAUUCCUGGUGUAGCGGUGAAAUGCGCAGAUAUCAGGAGGAACACCGGUGGCGAAGGCGGAUCUCUGGGCCUUACCUGACGCUGAGGAGCGAAAGCAUGGGGAGCAAACAGG